rnacentral:rRNA from 1 species
GAUGAACGCUGGCGGCGUGCCUAAUACAUGCCAGUCGAGCGAACGGACGAGAAGCUUGCUUCUCUGACGUUAGCGGCGGACGGGUGAGUAACACGUGGAUAACCUACCUAUAAGACUGGGAUAACUUCGGGAAACCGGAGCUAAUACCGGAUAAUAUUUUGAACCGCAUGGUUCAAAAGUGAAAGACGGUUUUGCUGUCACUUAUAGAUGGAUCCGCGCUGCAUUAGCUAGUUGGUAAGGUAACGGCUUACCAAGGCAACGAUGCGUAGCCGACCUGAGAGGGUGAUCGGCCACACUGGAACUGAGACACGGUCCAGACUCCUACGGGAGGCAGCAGUAGGGAAUCUUCCGCAAUGGGCGAAAGCCUGACGGAGCAACGCCGCGUGAGUGAUGAAGGUCUUCGGAUCGUAAAACUCUGUUAUUAGGGAAGAACAUAUGUGUAAGUAACUGUGCACAUCUUGACGGUACCUAAUCAGAAAGCCACGGCUAACUACGUG